GAUGCUGAUCCAGGUGAAAGUCCCAGUGCAGCAGCAACAGCACAUGAUGGAGAUGAUGAUGAGGAGGAGACCAUCUCUCUGGAUUCCAGAAGGCAUGAGGACCCAGAUGCUAUACAGUGGGAAAACCAGCCUGGCAACAUAAGCUCACAAGCUAUCAGAAAGUUGUAUGGCAACCACCUCCGGCGCCAAAUAGAACUGGCAGACAUAGACAUUCAGUACAAGAAGAAAAAGCUAGAAAAUCUUGCACUGGAGUCCGAAAUAAAAAAGAGGACAAUUAGGAAACUGGACCUUGAAAUAAAAAAACUUGAGCGGGAGCUCCAAGAAGAUGACACAG